rnacentral:rRNA from 1 species
AUUGAACGCUGGCGGCAGGCCUAACACAUGCAAGUCGAACGAGUGGCGGACGGGAGAGUAAUGUCUGGGAAACUGCCUGAUGGAGGGGGAUCACUACUGGAAACGGUAUCUAAUACCGCAUAACCUCGGGUGUGCCCAUAUGGGAUGAGCUAGUAGGUGGGGUAACGGCUCACCUAGGCGACGAUCCCUAGCUGGUCUGAGAGGAUGACCAGCAACACUGGAACUGAGACAAGGUCCAGACUCCUACGGGAGGCAGAAGUGGGGAAUAUUGCACAAUGGGCGCAAGCCUGAUGCAGCCAUGCCGCGUGUAUGAAGAAGGCCUUCGGGUUGUAAAGUACUUUCAGCGGGGAGGCGUUACCCACAGAAGAAGCACCGGCUAACUCCGUGCCAGCAGCCGCGGUAAUUC